GUACCUGUUCACUUUCUUUCUUUUCACAUCCCCAAGCCUCAAUUGUUGAGCCGCGGCGGCGUUUCGCUCUCAUCACUUCUUUCUGCUUCCGAAUCAAAAUCCCUCUCUUUAGCUUCUCAAUCUUCAACAUCUUUUUCCGAAUCUUUAACUUCCCAAUCCGAUUCUAAUCUGUCGUUCGGAUUCUAUUUAUGUUUUUAGUAUCGAAAUUGGUAUGUUAUAGAUCUCAACUGGAUUUGAGUUUUGAUGUUAUCUACGUGAUAUUGUGCCUUGCAUACUAUGUUUUGGAUUAUCUGGACACUUGUAUAUAAUCGCUUUUGCAGGUAAUAAUAAAGAGAGACAUCCCAGUUAAUCUCUUAAUCUCUUGGCAAGCACACCGAAUAUGUAAGAACACAAAAGUUUCGGGUCAUUUCGGGUCGUGUCGGGUAACCCGAAAUAAAUCCGAGUCGUGUUCGAGUUAGGUACCUGUACCCAUAAAAUUUUCGGGCCAGGUUCGGGUUGGGUAAAAAAUACUACCCGAGAAUGUUGACCUGACACGAACCCGACCAACAACCCGUAAUUGCCAGCCCUAGACACCAAUAGCAUAUUCAAUUUGAGUCGAUGUAUGCAUCAAGUAAGUACUGUGAGAUCUUAAAUUGUUAUCUUCUUAGUAUUGUAUUUCAUUGUUCAAUGGAUUAGGUUUUCAUGUUAUUUUAUAUUGAUUUCAUAUAUUAAUGUCACAUCUUAAUUCUUGAUUCAUAUUUUUAUCAUUGUAUGUGAUCUAUAUAAUAAAUAUCGGCCGAAUUUUAGCAAUAUAUUCACAAUUACAUGAUAUGGAUCAAUCAGGUUACAUGGGCUCAACUAAUUUCAAAAAUUCACAGGUUGGACACCGUUUGCAUAGGCCAAUUUCACUAUCUUCGUCAAAACAUGGUUUGGUAACUGUUUUUCUCAUGUAAAUAUCAAUUGCUCAUUUUUAAACUUUGUUUAUAUGUGUGUAAAUUAUAUGUAUAUAUCAAUUGCUCUUUCUGUGUAUGUAUAUGAUGGAUGGUGAGUGGGUAAAGACGGCGAUGUCUGAUGAUGGGACUAUGACAGCUCAGCUUCUAGAGCAGAUGUCGCAAUCUCCGAUGGCCACUCCGCCACCUCCAACGAGAAAGACUUUCUCGUUUUAUCUCCGAGUGCAUAUGAUGGAUGGUGAAUGGGUUAAGGCGACGAUGUCUGAUGAUGAGACUAUGACGGCUUAGCUUUUGGUGCAGAUGUAGCAAUCACCGAGGGCAACUCCUCCGCCACAUCCAAUGACGGUUAUGCUAUUAAAAUGGAGCGUCCGUCAACCCCG
rnacentral:lncRNA from 1 species